rnacentral:rRNA from 1 species
UACGUAGGGUGCGAGCGUUGUCCGGAAUUAUUGGGCGUAAAGGGCUCGUAGGCGGUCUGUUGCGUCAGGAGUGAAAACUCGGGGGCUUAACCCCCGAGCCUGCUUCUGAUACGGGCAGACUAGAGGUAUGCAGGGGAGAACGGAAUUCCUGGUGUAGCGGUGAAAUGCGCAGAUAUCAGGAGGAACACCGGUGGCGAAGGCGGUUCUCUGGGCAUUACCUGACGCUGAGGAGCGAAAGUGUGGGGGAGCGAACAGG